CCAGACUCCUACGGGAGGCAGCAGUGAGGAAUAUUGGUCAAUGGGCGGGAGCCUGAACCAGCCAAGUCGCGUGAGGGAUGACGGCCCUAUGGGUUGUAAACCUCUUUUGCCGGGGAGCAAAGUGCCGCACGUGUGCGGUUUGGAGAGUACCCGGAGAAAAAGCAUCGGCUAACUCCGUGCCAGCAGCCGCGGUAAUACGGAGGAUCCGAGCGUUAUCCGGAUUUAUUGGGUUUAAAGGGAGCGUAGAUGGGUUGUUAAGUCAGUUGUGAAAGUUUGCGGCUCAACCGUAAAAUUGCAAUUGAUACUGGCAGCCUUGAGUACAGUUGAGGUAGGCGGAAUUCGUGGUGUAGCGGUGAAAUGCUUAGAUAUCACGAAGAACUCCGAUUGCGAAGGCAGCCUACUAAACUGCCACUGACAUUGAUGCUCGAAAGUGUGGGUAUCAAACAGGAUUAGAUACCCCAGUAA
rnacentral:rRNA from 1 species